rnacentral:rRNA from 1 species
AUACGUAGGGGGCGAGCGUUGUCCGGAAUGAUUGGGCGUAAAGGGCGCGUAGGCGGCUUUGCAAGUCAGUAGUGGAAGUCCAUUUUUCAAGGAUGGAAGUGCUACAGAAACUGCGGAGCUUGAGUGCAGGAGAGGUUAUCGGAAUUCCCGGUGUAGCGGUGAAAUGCGUAGAGAUCGGGAGGAACACCAGUGGCGAAGGCGGGUAACUGGACUGCAACUGACGCUGAGGCGCGAAAGUGUGGGGAGCAAACAGGAUUAGAUACCCUGGUAGUCCACACUGUAAACGAUGAAUGCUAGGUGUAGGAGGUAUCGACCCCUUCUGUGCCGCAGUAAACACAGUAAGCAUUCCGCCUGGGGAGUACGGUCGCAAGAUUAAAACUCAAAUGAAUCGGCGGGG